rnacentral:misc_RNA from 1 species
AGGCCCCAGUUAGGGAAAGCCAUGCGGCACUCCGGAACCGUUGGUUACUGUAAACGAUCCUACACCAAAAAAGUCGCAACUAAGAAUGGUUGGAUAGAAUCAGUGGUGGGAAAUGUGUGCGUUUGGUGCGCCUUUCUCUAGGAGUGACGCAGACCGGUGGGCUGUAUCUGUCUAUCGUGAAUAGGCGCCUGAGGCUUGUAUCCGCGACAAGGGGCAACCACACUCUAGAAGCGGAGAGGGAGACGUGGAUACGAAGGCUUGCCGCAGCGAUGGUUUCUCGUUGUCCAGCUUUGAAAAGAACUAUGCUGCGGUUUUCAAUUGCUCUAAAAGGGCGUACCGCCGCUCAGCGUGUUUGGUGGGAGUAGUGGGAAUUCAGGAAGCGCAAACGGAACCCUCCGGAUGCCUUUGCAGCGGACUGCGCCUGGCUCCAGUAUGCUCCAGUCGAACACAGACUGGUGUCCUCUUUGAAAGUGCCAAUUUUCAAGGUUGGUAUAUUCUAUCAUUGACGAGCUUCUUGUAUGUAGCAGCGUUCACAUGAGCCAGGGAAUCCUCGAGCCGAUGCCCUCCGCGGUACUGCAAAGCCGUUCCGUCUCCGUGCUGCAACCGCACCGGCGCUAUAGGCGCUAUAGCGGACGAUCAGGGAAGGCACUAGGUGCUCGAUUGAAAGCAUCAAACCACCAUUAUACCCGAGAAGAAGUAUGGGCUACGGAGCCUGGAAGUAGGGUGUGGAGCGAUGGAUGCUUCACCGCGCGCUGGUAUCAAACGCACAGAUGAGCAACGCUGGCCUGUGUGUAAAUGUUUUACCAAAUAAAAAAGAGAACCGGCGGAUCUCCGACUUCACGACUGCGAUGCGCGUCCCGGAGAGCGUGCUGCAUUCGGCGCUGAACCACCCCCGAGAUACAGGUGCCCUCGCCCAUACUUGCCUUUGGGAAUAUUCGUCAGUUCGUACAAUCCCCGGGUGCCGAGCUCACCGCGAGCACUCGCUAUGACGCCGAUCGCGUCGGUGCGGGCACCACAGCACGGUGGAGCAGCUUUCAUGUUUGCCAUUUCAGCGAUGGAUAUCUGCCAAAGACAGCAACACUAUCAGCAGCCGACCCUUCGCAACAGCGGAACAAGCUCUGCGUUCAAACUACGAUUCCACGAUAUGAUCGCUGCGUUGCUUGGAAUAUCGGGGGUAAUGCGCUCACAGGAAGGACACCCGAGCAACCGUCCUUUUACGUUGCAUUUCGCGCAGACUCUACCAUAACUCCAAUCAGGAUAACCGACGCCGGAUUCGCACCGGUCUGGAAUGGAAUUCUCCAGCGCUUCAAGCGUCUGCCUCAGAAACAUUUGCGGUGUACCACAGAGGGUCCGAACUCGUCAUACUCCGCCUUACUAAUCCACAUCUGCUGAAAAGUGCUCAACGAGGCCAAAAUGCUGCCGCCGAUCCACACGCUAUAUUUGCGCUCCGCUGGCGCUACAAGCUUGAUCUUCACCGAAGAUGGUGCAACACUAGCGAGUUCCCGCUGCAUCCGAUCCGCGAUGCCUGGGAACAUCGUCGUGCCGCCGCUGAGAACCACGUUUGCGUACAGAUCUUUCCGGAUGUCGACAUCGCAUUUCAUGAUGCUCUGAUAAGCAACAUUAUGAAUACCCUCGCCCUCCAUACCGAUCAAGGACGGCUGGAAGAGCACCUCCGGGCAUCUGAAACGCUCACUCCCAAUCGUGAUGAUUUGUCCGUCGGGGAGUUCAUACUGCUUAUCGAUUUUCGCCGGCUGCGAUGAGGCAAUCUCCAACUCAUGAUCGUAGUCCUGUGCCACAUAACAACAUUUUUCCUUGAUGUCUCGCACGAUCUCUCGUUCGGCUGUCGUCGUGAAUGAAUAUCCGCGCUCUGUAAGGAUCUUGGCGAGAUAGUCGGUUAGGUCUCGUCCAGCCAGAUCUAUGCGCAUGAUAGCAUGCGGCAAGGCAUAGCCUUCGUAGAUGGGCACAGUGUGCGUCACACCGUCGCCGCUGUCGACGACAAUACCCGUGGUGCGCCCCGAAGCAUACAACGACAAUACUGCCUGGAUCGCGACGUACAUCGCGGGAACGUUGAACGUCUCGAACAUGAUCUGGGUCAUUUUUUCCCUGUUGGCUUUCGGGUUCAAAGGUGCUUCGGUUAACAACACUGGAUGAUCCUCGGGGGAGAU